rnacentral:rRNA from 1 species
ACUAGUGAUUGGAGAGGGAGCCUGAGAGAUGGCUACCACUUCUAAGGAAGGCAGCAGGCGCGCAAAUUACCCAAUCCUGAUACAGGGAGGUAGUGACAAGAAAUAACAAUACGGGUCCCAAUACGGGCCUUGUAAUUGGAAUGAGUACAAUUUAAACCCCUUAAUGAGUAACAAUUGGAGGGCAAGUCUGGUGCCAGCAGCCGCGGUAAUUCCAGCUCCAAUAGCAUAUAUUAAAUUUGUUGCAGUUAAAAAGCUCGUAGUUGGAUCUUGGAAUAGGGAGCAACCGGUCUGCCUUGAUAGGUAUGUACUGUUGUUCCCGUUCUCAUUUGAUGGAAACUUAUCUCUACUCUUAAGUGAGCGGAGAGUAGAUCAGUGGUAAGAAUAAUACUUUCUUCCAUUAUCUCUCGAGAUGAUGGUUGUAUUGUUAUGUUAUUCAACACUCCUACUUUUGUAAGUUCCAUCUCAUUUACUUUGAAUAAAUUAGAGUGUUUAAAGCAGGCGAUUUUUUGCCAUUGAAUACAUUAGCAUGGGAUAAUUGAAUAGGACUUCGGUUCUAUUUUGUAUUGGUUUUUAGGACUGAAGUAAUGAUUAAUAGGGAUAGUUGGGGACAUUGGUAUUUAAUUGUCAGAGGUGAAAUUCUUGGAUUUAUGAAAGACUAACUUCUGCGAAAGCAUUUGUCAAGGAUGUUUUCAUUAAUCAAGAACGAAAGUUAGGGGAUCGAAGACGAUCAGAUACCGUCGUAGUCUUAACCAUAAACUAUGCCGACCAAGGAUUGGGAGACAUUAUAUUUUUAAAUGACCCCCCCAGCACUUUGCGAGAAAUCAUAAGUCUUUGGGUUCCGGGGGGAGUAUGGUUGCAAAGCUGAAACUUAAAGGAAUUGACGGAAGGGCACCACCAGGAGUGGAGCCUGCGGCUUAAUUUGACUCAACACGGGAAAACUCACCCGGCCCGGACACCGUAAGGAUUGACAGAUCGAGAGCUCUUUCCUGAUUCGGUGGUUGGUGGUGCAUGGCCGUUCUUAGUUGGUGGAGCGAUUUGUCUGGUUUAUUCCGAUAACGAACGAGACUCUGGCCUACUAAAUAGAGACAGAACUAUUACUGUUCUGGAUUCUUCUUAGAGGGACAAGUGGUUUUCAGCCACACGAAAUUGAGCAAUAACAGGUCUGU